rnacentral:rRNA from 1 species
AGCAGCCGCGGUAAUUCCAGCUCCAAUAGCGUAUAUUAAAGUUGUUGCAGUUAAAAAGCUCGUAGUUGAAUUUCGGGAUCAGUAUGUCGGUCGUGCUAUUGUACGUACUGGUAUUAUUGAUUCCUACCUUCUGACGAACCAUGAUGUCAUUAAUUUGGUGUCUUGGGAAAUCAGGACUGUUACUUUGAAAAAAU